rnacentral:rRNA from 1 species
UACAGAGGGUGCGAGCGUUAUUCGGAAUUACUGGGCGUAAAGCGCACGUAGGCGGCUUGGCAUGUCGGGUGUGAAAUCCCCGGGCUCAACCUGGGAACUGCAUCCGAAACUGCCUUGCUAGAGUAUGGGAGAGGGAAGUGGAAUUUCCGGUGUAGCGGUGAAAUGCGUAGAUAUCUGGAGGAACACCGGUGGCGAAGGCGACAUCCUGGACCAACACUGACGCUGAGUGAGCGAAAGCCAGGGGAGCAAACGGG